rnacentral:rRNA from 1 species
GCUUAACGCGAAGAACCUUACCUACCCUUGACAUGCUAGGAAGCUCGCAGAGAUGUGAGCGUGCCCGAAAGGGAAUCUAGACACAGGUGCUGCAUGGCUGUCGUCAGCUCGUGUCGUGAGAUGUUGGGUUAAGUCCCGCAACGAGCGCAACCCUUGCCAUUAGUUGCUACAUUCAGUUGGGCACUCUAAUGGGACCGCCGGUGACAAACCGGAGGAAGGUGGGGAUGACGUCAAGUCCUCAUGGCCCUUAUGGGUAGGGCUUCACACGUAAUACAAUGGUCGGUACAGAGGGUUGCCAACCCGCGAGGGGGAGCUAAUCUCAUAAAGCCAGUCGUAGUCCGGAUCGCAGUCUGCAACUCGACUGCGUGAAGUCGGAAUCGCUAGUAAUCGCGGAUCAGAAUGUCGCGGUGAAUACGUCCCCGGGUCUUGUACACACCG